GGGGCCAAAAAUCUUCCAGAACCGAGUCUGUUUCUGAGGGAGGAGUUGUAAGAACAUGCCCUUGAGAAAGCAACCUGUCUAGAGGUCUCCCUCACAUCUCAGUCAGGUUCCUGUUAAUCAUAAAUUUUUUGAUAAGUAAAAAUAAUUCUCAGACAGUCAAAUCUAUCUAGUUCACUUAACAACUACGCCCUGAAUAGUACAGUGUGUUAGGCGCUCUGCAAGGUACUACGGCCACACGGGGUCCGGCAGACACGAACCCUGUCCUCAUCGGGCGGACAAUCUAAGCAAGAAGAGAGGCAGUUACCACCCACCCACCGCGCCAAGUGCUGUGACAAGAAGGGUUCUUCGGGAGGGCAGGACUGGGACACCUAAUCCAGCACUAGCGAGCAUGGGGAGGGCGUCAUGUAACACAGGGUCAUCCCUGAAAACACAGCUGGAGCGGCUGACUCCCGGACCCGAGUGGAGGCGGAGCAAGGAGCACCCGCUCCAGGCAGCGCGGCCCCAGGCCAGGAACCCGAGGCGGCCCGAGGGGCACGCAGCCCGGGGAAUAGGGGCGGGAAGGCGGGGAAGCCCACAGGGUCUCUCACCUCCAGGAGGAAGGGCCAGGAGCCGUCCACUCGCGGUAACAGCGGGUCGUGCAGGAGUCGAGAAAGUCAGCCCCGGGACAGAGCUGAAUCGCAACCAAGAAGAUUCUCGGAGCACAAAAGCGCAGCCCUCCGCAGACAACACCGGGAGGCCGCCCACACCGCCCACUUAUAGCCACGUCCCAGCCCCGGAGCCCGCGCAUGCGCACUGGGGCCGCACGCACUCGCCCGGACGCACGUCCGCGGCCCCGCCCCCACGCGGGGCGGUCCGAGGUCGGGGUCUCAGAGCAGGGCUCUCAGUCCGACCUGUUUUGGAAAGAACGCAACUUGGGGUUGUGAGUCACUGAGAUCGGCAGUAAGGUCAGCGUGUGUGUUAACUCGGACUGCUUCUUCCUGCUGCAGGAAACUUUGGAAGGAAUCAGCACAUUUACCCCCGUACUAAGUGGAUUGGAAGACACACCUGAGGUGCCCCAAUCCAAGGGACCCUCAGGUCAGGUGAAGACCGGUCUGCGGAGGAGGGCUUCUUCACCAGACAUUCCAACAAAGCACAGAUUGUCAGAAGGCAUCAGACCCCCACCCCCUGCCCCCAGUGUUUAAAUUCCAGGGACUGAAGAGCUUUCACUUUCUAGAAGUGUCAGCAUUCCGGGCACCACCCCCACUCUCCAGUCCAAGGCCUGAGGUUUAAUUUACCACUGAUAUCAUUGGAAUGGUGAGGCGUUUUCGCAUCGUAUUAAGUUCUGCUUUCUACGAAAGUUUGUCAUGUGUUAGAAAAUGUGAAACACUCAGCUGGCCCUGGUGCCUGUUCUGACGUCACAAAGACGUCACUUUGUACUCACUGGGCCUCAGUUUUCUCACCUAAAGUGUGGACACAAGAUGAUUUUAUUUUAUUUUGUUAACGUUUACUUAUUAUUCAGAGAGCAUGAACAUGGGAGGGGCAGAGAGAGGAGGAGCCACAGAAUCCGAAGCAGGCUCCAGGCUCCGAGCUGUCAGCACAGAGCCCGAAGCGGGGCUUGAACCCAGGAACUGUGAGAUCAUGAACUGUGAGAUCAUGACCUGACCCCCCCAAGUAGGACGCUUAACCGACUGAGCCACCCAGGCACCCCUACAAGAUGAUUUUUAAAGAUACUUUCAGAUUGAACCAAAGAGCUAGGAGGUGACAGUUCAGUCUCAGAUUUGGGGGCUGGGAAGCUUUGCUAAUCCCACCGUUACCCCCACCCCGCCACCCCCGCAAAACCAGAGAAAUGUAACCGUUCUACUGUGAGAGCACCCAAAGGCGGAUCUCGGAAAAUAGAGAGUCCUGGGAAGACACCAGGAGUCAGCGGGCCCCUGGGAAGGAACCUGCAGGCAAGAAGGCUGCCAGUGGUUUCCUUGCUUUCCUCCUGGGGAGGAGGAGGAGGGCAGUGGGCCAAAGCGCCGGGGCAGGCAAACUCCUGCACGUGGAGAAUGGCGUAUUCAGAGGCAAUCGUUGCAACACUGUUUACGAUACAGAAGAUUGGGAAGAAGCACAGCAGCCUAUCAGGAGAAACUGGAAGGCAAAUUGAAGACAUCUUCAAAUGACAAACAAAAAACAGAAUGAACCACCCUAGACCCUUAUUAAGGAAACUUGCAAGCAUGUACCUGAAAAGAAAACUGAACCUAGGGGAAAAAAUCGUGAGAUUCAAGAAGAAAGAGUGAAUAAACACUGGGAAAACGAAAUAAAACCGAACAAAUUAUGACUACUCAAAACUACCUUUCCAGACCAGAAGAAGGUAGGACACACGGCCACAGAGUGCAGCAUGUGAGAUCGGAGAGGUCCUCGCCCAGGACAGACGGCAGCAGAACCACGGACGAAACCGCGAAGAAACCCGUCAGGGUUAAUGGAUACAGCUGCAUCUGUGUGAACCCGCUGGCUGGACCAUCACAACGGGAACACCCAAGAUAGGAAGGCUGGGGAAGUGCAUGGAAAGUGUUUCUACUGCUUUGCAACUUUUAAGUCCAAAGUCAAUUAAAAAAAAAAAACAAAAAAACAAAAAAAAAAACUUUUAAAGGUUAAGAAAAACAAGAACAAACCCGUUUUCGAUAAUACCACUUUUUUAAAAAUGGUAAACAUUUAAGCUGGGAACAUACUGCUUUUUUUUUUUUCAUAGUACUCAAUACCAUCAAACAUGUUUUAUAUUUAUGUACAGAUCAACUAUCUGUCCUCACUAGCAGGUAGCUACCUGAGGACAAGGAUUUGGACUGUUUUGUCAAUUACUAUGCUAAACCCAGAGCGCUGCCUGGCAUGUAGUAGGUGCUCGGCAAAUAUUUGUUGAGUGAAUAAGGAACAGCUGCUCACUGAUUGGUUUCAUUUAUUUGUAUCUGUUGUGCAACAUUUUAAUAAUGAGCAUUACUGGGUGAUACAGCUACG